CCCAAACUGAACGACAUUGCUUUAAUACAGAGCAUCCAAUAGGUGGCAGCGAAUUAUCGGCCAAUAAUGAACUCUAUAGAAGAAUGCGAAACGUGGCUAAUGGCAACGUGAGUAAAGACAGAAUAGGUCAAGCAGCCGCAAUUUUAAAUAGUAUUUUAUCAUCACCGGAUGCAACAAGCAGUGUGACCUUCGCCUUAAACGAAGGAGCUACUAUGACCGCCCGCAGUGAUUCGGUUGAGACAGAAUUAGCAUCUCUGUUUCGUGCUGGAGCAGCUAGCCGAAGUUCGGCGGUGUCAACAGUAAAUCAAGGACCAAGUUCGGUGGCUCCGGUAGCCCCACGUUUCCAAGCCCAGCAGUGUUUUGGACCUUGGACUACUAACAGGAGAAGAAGGGGGUUUUUCAAGAAGUCCUUCUGGACUGAAGACUGGAAACAGAACAUCUCUGUUUAACAUAUCUGAGCCAGCAAAUUCAGUCCCAAUGCAACUUCCUAUUAUUCUUGUUCUGCUGCUGCAGCUGUCUUUUCUUACUUCCUUUACAUUAGGAGUCAGUGAAGGCGAUGUCCUACAAUUUUUUAUGGAUGCACUACAUUGUGUAGAACUAAUUCAAAGGGAAAGAACAGGUGACAUAAGUAGCCAGGAUAGGCUUUACAGAGAACUUGCUGAUCACACUCAAACUUUAUCUGCAAUCCUGUCAGUGUCCACAGUUUAAUGAGCUAAGAUACCAUGCAUAUAGAACAAUGAUUGAAGACUUGUAUACCUGUUUUCUGUCCAUUUUAGAAGAAUAUGAUGCUAUGCUAGGAUCUCAUGAAUUGACCCCUAGAUGUCUGCUUCCCCCAAUAAAAUGGACUGGUUUUCCAAGGUGCCCACGAUAUGACAUCACAUCAUUGCAAAUUUCUCACUGCAUUUCAAUUGGAAUGAACUGGCAGCAGAUUGCAUCUGCCUUUGGUAUUAGCCGUCGAACUCUCUACAGACAUAGACAACACUUGGGAAUGCAACCCUUACAAUAUACUGUGCUAACAGACCAAGAGUUAACAAGAGUUGUGACUGACAUUCUACAAAGGACACCAAAUGCUGGUGAAACUUAUGUGCUUGGGAGCCUUGCAUCCAGAGAAAUACAUGUUCAGCAUUGGCGUGUCAGACAGUGUCUACAGGAAGUUGAUCCAAUUGGACGGUCAUUAAGCAGGAGGCGUACCAUACGCCGACGGGUUUAUAAUGUUCAGACACCAAAUCAACAAUGAAGCUACACCUGGCCUGACUCUGUGUCUACCUGUGACACCUUUCUGGAGAGGGAAAUCGUCCAAACUUCUGCUGGCCAAAACAACGGAGGGUUCCAUGGAUGAAGAUCUUUUAAAGCGGAGCCUUGAAGGAUGAUUGGCCGGGGAGAAAUGCAGACUUUUGCGGAGGGUGUCAGUGACUGCCUGCUGGACAUGUAGUUAGUUUUACCUAUGUUUGAGUAGGCCGUAACAUAACAGAAACAAUUGCUUGAAAUGUGUCCUUAUGUUUAAUGAACGACAUUUGAUUUAGAUUUAAUGAAAU